rnacentral:rRNA from 1 species
CAAGGCUUGACAUGGGCCGGACCGGGCUGGAAACAGUCCUUCCCCUUUGGGGCCGGUUCACAGGUGGUGCAUGGUUGUCGUCAGCUCGUGUCGUGAGAUGUUGGGUUAAGUCCCGCAACGAGCGCAACCCUCGUUCUAUGUUGCCAGCGCGUAAAGGCGGGGACUCAUAGGAGACUGCCGGGGUCAACUCGGAGGAAGGUGGGGAUGACGUCAAAUCAUCAUGCCCCUUAUGUCUUGGGCUUCACACAUGCUACAAUGGCCGGUACAAAGGGCUGCGAAAUCGCAAGAUGGAGCGAAUCCCAAAAAACCGGUCUCAGUUCGGAUUGGGGUCUGCAACUCGACCCCAUGAAGUCGGAGUCGCUAGUAAUCGCAGAUCAGCAACGCUGCGGUGAAUA